rnacentral:tRNA from 1 species
GAAAUGUUAUAAUAAAAGCUGCUAACUUUAUAUUAAACGAGUAACUCCGUUACAUUUCU